ensembl:snRNA U4 U4 spliceosomal RNA
AGCUUUGCACAGUGGCAGUAUCAUAGCCAAUGAUAUGAUUUAUCUGAGGCAUGAUGAUUGCUAAUUGAAAACUUUUCCCAAUACCCCACCGUGACGACUGGAAAUAGAGUCAGCAUUGGCAAUUAUUGGCAGUCUCUAUGGGGA